rnacentral:rRNA from 1 species
AACGGCAGCGCGACUUCGUCUGGCGGCGAGUGCGAACGGGUGAGUAAUACAUCGGAACCGUACCCUGUUGGUGGGGGAUAACUAGUACGAAAGAUUAGCUAAUACCGCAUACCGACCUGGAGGGUAGAAAGUGGGGGACCGCAAGGCCUCACGCAGCAGGAGCGGCCGAUGUCUGACUAGCUAGUUGGUGGGGUAAAGGCCCACCAAGGCGACGAUCAGUAGCUGGUCUGAGAGGACGAUCAGCCACACUGGGACUGAGACACGGCCCAGACUCC